rnacentral:rRNA from 1 species
UACGUAGGGGGCGAGCGUUGUCCGAAUUCACUGGGCGUAAAGCGCGCGUAGGCGGGUUCUUAAGUUGGGGGUGAAAUGCCGAGGCUUAACCUCGGAACUGCCUCCAAAACUGGGAGCCUUGAGGUAUGGAGAGGGAAGUGGAAUUCCUGGUGUAGCGGUGAAAUGCGUAGAUAUCAGGAGGAACACCUGUGGCGAAGGCGGCUUCCUGGCCAUAUCCUGACGCUGAGGUGCGAAAGCUAGGGGAGCGAACGGG